GCUAGCAUGGUGCAGUGGUUUGAGUGUUGGACUACGACUCUGGAGAUCAGGGUUCGAUUCCUUGCUCAACCA
rnacentral:tRNA from 1 species